rnacentral:rRNA from 1 species
GAUGAACGCUGGCAGCGUGCCUAAUACAUGCAAGUCGAGCGAACCGAUGAGGAGCUUGCUCCUCUGACGUUAGCGGCGGACGGGUGAGUAACACGUGGAUAACCUACCUAUAAGACUGGGAUAACUUCGGGAAACCGGAGCUAAUACCGGAUAAUAUAUUGAACCGCAUGGUUCAAUAGUGAAAGACGGUUUUGCUGUCACUUAUAGAUGGAUCCGCGCCGCAUUAGCUAGUUGGUAAGGUAACGGCUUACCAAGGCAACGAUGCGUAGCCGACCUGAGAGGGUGAUCGGCCACACUGGAACUGAGACACGGUCCAGACUCCUACGGGAGGCAGCAGUAGGGAAUCUUCCGCAAUGGGCGAAAGCCUGACGGAGCAACGCCGCGUGAGUGAUGAAGGUCUUCGGAUCGUAAAACUCUGUUAUUAGGGAAGAACAAAUGUGUAAGUAACUAUGCACGUCUUGACGGUACCUAAUCAGAAAGCCACGGCUAACUACGUG